CCGGGCAGAGCAGUCGGGAGUCGCUGUGGAGCGACAGCGGAGCCGUGGCCCAGCUCUCUGCGGCUCGGAAGCCGCCGGCCCCUCGCGCCCGACCUGCAGCCGGGCCGGAGGUGAUGCCUGGAGGCCGGCGGAGGCCCGGGGGCCUCGGACUCGUCGCCACCACGGCCUCGCGCUCCGCCUCUGGGACGCGCCCUUCCGCCUCACGGCCGACGCUCUACCCCGGCGCCGCCGCCCUGACGCCCGCCUGGUCUCGGCCCCCGGCGAUCCCGCCCGGGCCGCCCCGCUCCCGCCGGUCCUCGUCUGCCCACCCUCCCCAGCCUCCACCCCCUGCCCUGACCGUUGCGGCAGACGGCGGGCUGCGGGCAGAGCGGGCUGUUGCAGGGCACGCUGGGCCGCAGGUAGUGCUCCCGCACGAUCCGCAGCGUCCGGCCCUGGAAGGUCCUCAGGAGCAGCACCUUCUCCCGCUUCUGCAGCAUGCUGGCGGCGCUCCCCGGGCAGAGCUCCGGGCCCCACGAGGCCGCCCGGAUCAAGCGGCUGGGAAGCGGCGGGCGCAGCGCGGCGCGGGCGGAGGCGAGGCCGAGGCUUCGGGCCCGCCCCCUCGGCCUGGUUUCCGCGGAGCUCCCGGCCGGUGGGACCUCCUGGCGGCGGCCUAAGCGCUCCGGGCUCCGAACCGAAACCGCCGUAACGGCCCGCGUCCUGGGGUUGCGAGCAGCAGGAGGCCGGCGGUGUGGGCGCUGCAGCUGGGCCCACAGUCUCCCCCCAACCCCGCCUCAGUUUCUCCCCUCCCUACAAUUGCCUGGGGGUGGAAUUGCCUGGGAGGGGUGGAAACCACGCAAAAGACUUAAGGGAGACAACCAUAAUACAGGUCUUCCUCCGCUUAACGAUGGGGUUACGUCCUGAUAAACCCAUCUAAGUUGAAAAUUUAUUUAACACAGCUAACCUACCCAACAUCACAGCUUAACCCAGCCUACCUUAAACCUGCUCAGAACACUGACAUUGGUCUACAGUUGGGCAGAAUCAUCUAACACAAAGCCUAUUUUAUGACAGUGUUGAGUAUCUCAAGUAAUUUAUUGAACACUGCUGAAAGUGAAAAACAGAAUGGUUGCAAGCGUAUCGGUUGUUUACCCUGUGCUGUCUGGGAGCUGGGACUUGCCCGCCUGCUCAGCAUCAGGCAAGAGUAACGCUAGACCGGAAAAGAUAAAAAUUCCAGGCAAGGAGACCAAAGUACAGGAGGACUGAAUAAUUGCCCCAGGCCACACACUCAAGCAAGACUUGGAACCCAAGCAGUUUGGUUACAGAGUCCAGGCAGUGAUGACCCAGCCAUGCCACCUUUCAGCUGGUAAACAGCCAGGAUUAUUAUUACCAGUGAAAUACCAGUCAUGGUGAAGAGUUAUUUCAUUGGAUGAAUGUAUUACAAGGAGUUCUCCUGUUUAUUUUACUGUUUUGUUACUGCGUAUGUUUGAAUUUGGGAAAGUGAAUUCCAUUUUAUAUCUUACAAUGAUAAACUUUGAAUUCUAAAACCUAAUAAUGAUGGUAGAAAUGUUGUGAAAAAAAAUGGAAAAGAGAAUAAGGAGUACUUAGUAAUAAUCCUAACCUCUAGGAAAUCCUCCAGGUUUUGGAUAAAUAUAAACAAAGUAUUAGAUUUUAAACCUUAAAUUUAGUUACUUAAUAAUCAAAAGGCAUGUUAAACUACACAUUUGUUAUCUUGUUCUAAAGGAAGAAGAAUGAGGGCCGAAAGUUAAAAUUACAUUAUACUUAACUUUCUUUACAUUUUAGGCCAGAGCAAGGCCUAUUUCUGUUCGUAUUAGGUUUCUUUUGCUGCAUAAUGAAUUACCAUAAACUUAGCAGCUUCAAACACUCAUUCAUUACCUCAGUUUCUGGAAUCAGAAGCCGGGGCAUGGCCGAAUUAGGUUCUUGGCUCAGAGUCUCACAAGACUGAAAUCAAUGUGUCAGCUGGGCUGAUUCCCUUCUAAAGCUUGGGGUCUUCUUUCAAGCUCACAUAGUUGUUGGCAGAAUUCAGUUCCUUGCAGCUGUAGGACCCUGGCCCCUCUUCUCUUGCUGGAUAUUAGGCAGGGCUCUAAAGAUGGGCUGGAUGUUAGGAGGCCACCCACAGUUCCUUGCCAUGUGGCCCCUCCAUAGGCCCUUUCACACUUCAAAAUCUCUUUCACCUGGAGAACCCAGUUCCUUUAAGGGCCACUGAGGAUAAUCUUCUAUUUUAAGGUCAACUGAUUUGAGAAUUUAAUUGCAUUUGCAGAAUCCCUUCACAGCAGCACCCAGAUCAGUGUUUAACUGAGUAACCUGGGGAAGGUGUGUGUACACUGGGGCACAGGAAUCCUGAGACCAUCUUAGAAUCCUGCCUACCUUUAUUAGUCUGUUCAGGCUGCUAUAACAAAAUACUACAGACUGGGUAGUCUAUAAAAAACAGAAAUUUAUUUCUCACAGUUCUGGAGUCUGGAAGUUGGAGAUCACAGUGGCAACAUAGUUGGGUGAGGGUCCUCUUCUGGGUUUCAGAUUUCUUAUUGAAUCCUCAUAUGGCAGAAGGGGCUAGGAGUCUCUCUGGUGCCUCCUCUAUAAAGCACUAAUUCCAUUCAUGAGGGUUCCACCUCAAGCAACUCCCAAAGGCCCCACCUACUAAUGCUAUCACCUUUGGGGGUUAGGAUUGCAACAUAUGAAUUUUGUUCAUUCAGACCAUAGCACUACCAUAAUAAUGCUUUAUAACAAACAUUUGAACUCAAUAAGUUAUAUUUAAAACGAUGGUAUUUAUUAAGUAUCUGAGAGCAGCAUAAAUGACUUAAAAAAUAAAGAGAGAACCAAGCCAAUAAUUCAGAGGCUAUAUGAAAGUAAAUGAAUGAUAGAUAAUGCUGCCUUGGUUAGUUCAAGCUAAGGAGGAGAAAACUCCCCCAAUACAAACUCACGUUCUAUUAAUCUUCAAGCAGCACUGAUUUACGCUGGGCCCAGAAUUCACUGAGGAAUCAUUGCAUAGCGUCCAGCCCCUUUUGCUAACACAGGAUCAACUUGGAGCGGGCAGCGUGUCUAGGGCAUCUGGUGGGUAAGAACCAUCUCCUUUUGUUUUACCCCUUAGUUGCUACUAAGAGGAGUGAUGCUGUAUCCCCCAGAUUAAGAUCCUCUCUUAAAAUCCCACUGUGACAGGUGAUAGGUCACCCUGGCAUUUUUGAAUAUUUGAAUUUUAAAUUUAAAAUGUCAUCAUCAGAGGCGUCAUUCAUCGUGUCACUGACUGCCGUCAUCAAGCCCAGGAAAGCGGGAGGCUGCCCGUAUUUGCAGCCCAUCUUCCGUGUAGAAUUGUGAUGGGGUCAGAGCCACGAUUAAGGAAACUUCUCUGAUUGCAGUGUUUGGGUGGGGAAAAGCAGGAGGGUUUUCUUCUCAAUUUUUUUCUAUUAAAUCUGACAAUUUAAGAGAUAUCAUUAAAAAAUAUUCUUCUCCCCAGGAGAGAAAGGGCUUGGCUCUUCAAUAUCUUUCAUUGAAACCAUAAGGCUCUUGUUAUAUUCACCAUAUUAGGCUUCAAGGCCUUGUCUUUUCUGACUUGGAGCACUGAAGGCAUUUUGAUCCCCUUCCAGUUCUACAAACAACGUUCUUUAGUCAGCUUGAGGCAUCACUUGAUCAGGGAAAAGCACUUCCUCACUCCCUAAUGCAAACAGCACCUGCCAAUCCCCCAUCCAGAAGCAAGAGAGAAGGGCUGUUCUUUGAGUCCGCAGAGCACUGUUAAUUCAAAUGUACAUUAAACCAAAGAAAAUAACCUGAAACCUACAGCCUCAUUAAUAGAUGCAGAACAUAGUGGCAUUUAGAGAUUUAAAACAAGUCCACGGACCCACAUAUCCACACAACGUAUUUGUUUACUUAUGGCCAGUGUGAGAAGCCUGAUAUUGAUAGCAUGGUGUUUCAUUUCCACUGGCAUUAAGUUCAUCAUCUUAGGGAAAAUGUAAAAAGGAUAAAUAACUAAAUGGGAAGUAAAAAGUAUAUUGUUAAUUGCAUUGUUGAUUAAUACUGAGCAGGCUGUAAUAAACCACACAUUUUUCUUUCAAACUACUUGUUUUAAGCUUUCUCCAAUUUUAGAAGGGUAGGAUAUAUAUAUAUAUAUAUAUGAAUAUAUAAAAUAUGUAAAUGUAUAUAUAGUUUAACUAAUAUGAUAUGUACAAUGACAUAUAAUGUAUAUAUCACAUAUAUAUUAUAUAUGUAAAAUCAGUUACGAUUAGCUGUGUUGUGUUGCAGCAAUAAACAACCCUCAAAUCUCAGUGAUUUAAAACAACAAAGGUUAUUUCUUGUUCACACUAUAUGUCCCUCCACUCUGGGGUGUCAAAUGUUUGUUUGUUUU